ensembl:snoRNA U3 Small nucleolar RNA U3
AAGACUAUACUUUCAGGGAUCAUUUCUAUAGUUCUUGACUUGGAAAUGCGUUUCGGAAGUGUCGUGUCUCGCUACUCACGAUGAUGAUGCGUAACGCUUCUCUCUGAGCGCGAAUCGGGCAGCAGCUGCAACUCACGUUCCACGCUGCUGCCAUUGAUGACCGUUCAUCAGUCGGCAACGAGAGAUGAGGAGAGGAGUGUUUACAGAGUGAU